ensembl:lncRNA
CAUGACUCAAAUUUGGUGAACUGUUACUGCAAAACUCUACACACAAAUCCCUACAUUUUACAGUGCUUACACCAUGUAGUCAUUUAGAAAGCACUAGCAUGCAAUAAUGUUAACUUAAGUCAGCACAGCUUGAGCUCAAUUAGCACACAAUUAACCAGGUGGAAACACUAGGAGUCAAAAUUUAGCACACACCAAUCAGAACCUGCGAUGGAUAGAUAAAAGGGCCAAAGUCAGCUCAUUCAGGUUUGAAACAAUGGAUCCAAAGAGAUGCAAAGGAAGAGGACGUGGUGAAAGAGGAGGACGUGGAGGAGGAGGAGGACGUGGUGAAGGAGGUGGAGAACGACGGCGACAAGGAAGGGGAAGAGCAAGGGCAAGAAGACAGUCAGUCUCGGAUGAAAUUCGAGCCACUUUAGUUGACCAUGUCCUUGUCCAUGGGAUGACUAUGAGGGAGGCUGGGCAACGAGUACAACCAAAUUUGAGUCGCUUCACUGUUGCCUCCAUCAUCAGAACCUUCAGGGAGGAAAACAGGACACAGAGACGACCACCUGGUGGAGGCAGGUUAAGGCUUUUGUCGGAGGAGCAAGAGAGGGAACUUGUAAACAUGGUAAUUGCAAAUAAUGUAAUCCGCCUG